AUACUUACCUGGCAGGGGAGACACCAAGGGGAGAUCCCGAAGGUGGUUUUCCCAGGGCGAGGCUUAUUUAUUGCACUCGGGAUGUGCUGACCCCUGUGAUUUCCCCAAUUGUGGGAAACUCAACUGCAGAAUUUGUGGUAGUGGGGGCCUGCGUUCAUACUCUCCCCUG